rnacentral:tRNA from 1 species
CACUAUAUGACUGAUUAAAGUAUUGAUCUUUUAAAUCAAAUUAUGAUAUAAAAUAAAUAUAUCUUUAGUGA